rnacentral:rRNA from 1 species
UACGAGGGGGGCGAGCGUUGUUCGGAAUUAUUGGGCGUAAAGGGUGCGUAGGCGGUUUGGUAAGUCUUGUGUGAAAUCUACAGGCUCAACUUGUAGUCUGCACGAGAAACUGCCGGGCUUGAGUAUGGGAGAGGUGAGUGGAAUUCCUGGUGUAGCGGUGAAAUGCGUAGAUAUCAGGAGGAACACCAAUGGCGAAGGCAGCUCGCUGGGACGGUACCGACGCUGAGACGCGAAAGCGUGGGGAGCAAACAGG